UACGUAGGGUGCGAGCGUUGUCCGGAAUUAUUGGGCGUAAAGGGCUCGUAGGCGGUUUGUCGCGUCGGGAGUGAAAUCCCCGGGCUCAACCUGGGAACUGCAUCCGAAACUGCCUUGCUCGAGUAUGGGAGAGGGAAGUGGAAUUUCCGGUGUAGCGGUGAAAUGCGUAGAGAUCGUAAGGAAGACCAGUGGCGAAGGCGGGUCUCUGGACAGUUCCUGACGCUGAGGCACGAAGGCCAGGGGAGCAAACGGG
rnacentral:rRNA from 1 species